ACGGGUGAUAACGCGUAGGUAACCUACCUCAUAGCGGGGGAUAACUAUUGGAAACGAUAGCUAAUACCGCAUAAGAGAGACUAACGCAUGUUAGUAAUUUAAAAGGGGCAAUUGCUCCACUAUGAGAUGGACCUGCGUUGUAUUAGCUAGUUGGUGAGGUAAAGGCUCACCAAGGCGACGAUACAUAGCCGACCUGAGAGGGUGAUCGGCCACACUGGGACUGAGACACGGCCCAGACUCCUACGGGAGGCAGCAGUAGGGAAUCUUCGGCAAUGGGGGCAACCCUGACCGAGCAACGCCGCGUGAGUGAAGAAGGUUUUCGGAUCGUAAAGCUCUGUUGUUAGAGAAGAAUGAUGGUGGGAGUGGAAAAUCCACCAAGUGACGGUAACUAACCAGAGAGGGACGGCUAACUACGUGCCAGCAGCCGCGGUAAUACGUAGGUCCCGAGCGUUGUCCGGAUUUAUUGGGCGUAAAGCGAGCGCAGGCGGUUUUUUAAGUCUGAAGUUAAAGGCAUUGGCUCAACCAAUGUACGCUUUGGAAACUGGAGAACUUGAGUGCAGAAGGGGAGAGUGGAAUUCCAUGUGUAGCGGUGAAAUGCGUAGAUAUAUGGAGGAACACCGGUGGCGAAAGCGGCUCUCUGGUCUGUAACUGACGCUGAGGCUCGAAAGCGUGGGGAGCAAACAGGAUUAGAUACCCUGGUAGUCCACGCCGUAAACGAUGAGUGCUAGGUGUUAGGCCCUUUCCGGGGCUUAGUGCCGGAGCUAACGCAUUAAGCACUCCGCCUGGGGAGUACGACCGCAAGGUUG
rnacentral:rRNA from 1 species